GCUGGCAUAGCUCAGUUGGCAGAACACUAUAUUUUUAAUCUCAGGGUUGUGGGUUCGAGACCCGCCUCAGACA